GAUGAACGCUGGCGGCGCGCCUAAUACAUGCAAGUCGAGCGACGAAACCGAAGUGGGUAACCACUUCGGCUGAAAGCGGCGAACGGGUGAGUAACACGUGGGUAACGUGCCCCGAACUCUGGAAUAACAACGGGAAACCGUUGCUAAUGCCGGGAUGACCCCUGCAGUUCGCAUGUUCAGCAGGGCAAAGAAUUUCGGUUCGGGAUCGGCCCGCGGCCUAUCAGCUUGUUGGUGGGGUAAUGGCCUACCAAGGCAGUGACGGGUAGCUGGCGUGAGAGCGUGGCCAGCCACACUGGGACUGAGACACGGCCCAGACUCCUACGGGAGGCAGCAGUAGGGAAUCUUGCGCAAUGGGCGAAAGCCUGACGCAGCGACGCCGCGUGAGGGAUGACGGCUUUCGGGUUGC
rnacentral:rRNA from 1 species